AUAAAUAGGACUGAUGGGGAAAAAAGGGAGUGAAAAGAAAGGAGAGCUCUACUCAUUUUUAAAUAUUUGUUUUAAUUAUUUGUUUUGAUCCUUUUUUUUUUUUAACUCUCCUUUCUUUUCACACCCUUUUUUCCCCACCAGUCCUAUUUAUAU